GAGUUUGGCCCCUCACAUGACUUGGCAUAGUAACAACAAGAGGGAUGAUGGAAUCAUGACACACCUGUCACACGGAAAAGCCUGGAAGCAUUUUGAUCGGGUGCAUUCUAUAUUUGCAAGUGAGCCGAGAAAUGUUAGACUAGCUUUGUGCUCUGACGGAUUCGCACUGAAUUUCAAUUUCGGUAACGUGUACUCUUAUUGGUCUAUAGUCAUGACAUCGUAUAACAUGAGUCCCGAAAUAUGCAUGAAGGACCCAUACAUGUUCCUAAUUUGCAUUAUACCUGGUCCCAGAAAUCCAAAGGCCAAAAUAGAUGCAUGUCUUCUUGCAGCCCUUGGUGGAUGAGUUAAAGGAGUUGUGGAUUGAUAGUGUAGAAACAUAUGAUAUUUCGACGAAGACAAACUUCCAAUUGCGGGCUGCAUUGAUUUAGAUCAUUAACGAAUUUCCUACAUACGACAUAUUGUUAUGUUGGUCUGCUCAGGGUAGAAUGGCAUGCCCCAUUUGUAUGGAGGAUACAAAGACAUUUUGGUUGUCGACUGGCGGUAAUAAUUCAUGGUUUGAUUUCCAUAAAAAAUUCCUUGACUUUGAUCAUCCUUUUCGGCGCAACAGGGACUCGUUCAAAAAGAAUAUAACUGAACACGAAGAGGUACCCGUAAAUUUGAAUGGUAGACAAAUUUGGAAUUGCGUCAGCAGAAUCCCAACUAUCGUAAAAAACGAGACAGAUUUGAGACCUCCGAAAUAUGGCCGGGAGCAUAAUUGGACUAAACAUAGUAUAUCUUGGGAGUUGCCUUAUUUGAGAGAUAAUUUGGUUCGACAUUGUCUUAAUGUGAUGCAUAUUGAGAAAAACGUGUUUGAUAAUAUAAUGCACACCGUAAUGGACGAUGAGCGAUCAAAGGAUAAUGAUAAGACACGAUUACACUUGAUGGACAUUUGCAAGUGACCAGAUCUGGACUUAAGGAGACUUGAUAACGAGCGAUGGGCUAAACCAAAGGUAGUGUUCGCUCUAACAAAGGAGCAGAGGCAAAAUGUUUGUAGAUGGAUUAGAGGAUUGAGGUUUCCUGAUGCUUACGCUUCUAACUUGAGUAGGUGUGCAAACAUGUCACAGGGUAGGUUUGUUGGGUUGAAGAACCAUGAUUGUCACGUUUUCAUGGAGCCUUUGCUUCCAGUUGCAUUCAGAAAACUUUCAACCAACAUCUAAAAAUCACUCACAGAAAUAAGUGAGUUCUUUAGGGAUUUAUGUGCUGUCAAACUUAGUAUUAAUGAUCUCACAGUCAUGGAUAAGAAUAUUCUCAUCAUACUUUGUAAGUUAGAGAGGAUAUUCUCUCCAUCAUUUUUUAACAUUAUGGAACACUUAGCAGUCCAUCUACCAUUCGAAGCACUACUAAGUUGGCCGAUCCAAUUUGAGAGGAUGAUUAUAUUGGUUCAUUUAAGCGCACCGUGAAGAACAUGGCUCGGAUUGAGGGCAGCAUCUGUGAAGCAUUCCUAGCUUAGAAAACAUCCGGAUUUUGCUCAUUCUAUGUUCAGUCUCAUGUUGAGUCAUGUAUAACAAGGAUUGCAAGGAUCGAUGAGUGGAGAAAAUCAUCAUCGGGUGGAACAACAUACCUAAUCUUUGCUCUGGAAGGAGCUUCAAUGGGUGUGGGCAGUGACUACUGGUUAGAGAAGAAGGAAAUCGAUGCCGCACAUCUGCAUGUGUUGCUUAACUGUGACAAGAUUUCACUGUACCUCAUGUGAGUUUCUUAAGUCCUCAUAAAUAUUGCAAUCAGUAACAUUCUAACUUCGUAAUCUAAUCAAAAAAAUUUUAUCCUAUUCUAUCAUAUAUGUUAUUUCAGGAGGUAAAUUCUGAUACCUCAUCGAACAACUUUUCAUGUUGGUUUAGAGAAUACGUCAGCGUGCAUCUAUCUAACACAAUAGAUUAAAAAAUAGUUGCUCUUAGUUGGGACCCAAUGAAUAAGGACACUAGCUACCCGAUGUACAAUGUUAAUGGAUAUCGAUUUCAUACCUUACAGUGGUCGAUAGGAAAAAAAACAGAUAACACCGGAGUUUGGGUUCGUAGAGAUUUAGACGGUGGUCAUUUUGAUUGGUUUGGUGUGUUGCAUAACAUAAUUGAAUUAGAAUAUUUCUGUUGCACUACGUACAAGGUGUGUGUAUUUAAUGUGAAUGGUAUAAUCCUAGUUCGUGACAAGAAACACGAAAGCACAAUGACUACGAUAUCACUGAAGUUAAUUUAACUAGAAAAUAUAGGCACUACAAUCUUUUAUUCUACCUCAAAAUGCAAGACAGGUGUACUUUUUGCCUUAUCCGAGUUCAUGCAAGUCUAGUUGUGUGGUUGUAGUUAAGACUAAACCAAGAGACCGAAUCGAAUCCGAUGAUAGGAUAGAGGGUCAGAAACUUUACCAGAUUGAUGACCCAACUCCUUUGAAAAUGGUGGUUGAUACCGGUGAACCGAUUACCCUUAGCUUGGUUGUUAGGAUAAUGAUAUCAUUGACCUUGGAUUACAUGACGAUGCAUGACGAUCGGAUUUCCUGUCGGUAAAGAAAUUCACAAAUAUAUUAUUGCGUUGCAAGUAUAGCUUCUAAACCAACAGAAAAUCCUUCCGUACAAACGUUUUGUUUGUCACUUAAGUAAACCCAAUAAAAUUUAUAAACCGAAGUAUUUAAACCUCGGGUCGUCUUCUCAAGGAAUUGCAGGGAAGUAUGAUUUAUUAGUGGUUAUGGAAAACAGUAUUUUCUUGGGUUUUGAAAAGGUUUGAAUAAGGAAAAUAAAUUGCAGGAAUUAAUAAAUUAAUAUCUAAUAAAACUCUUGGCAAGGUGUGAAAAUCUGGAAGUCCUAUCCUAGUUAUCCUUAUCGAUGGUGAUGAGAAUUGAGUUUUAAUCCCACUUAGUUAACCUUUACUAAAGCAAAGGAAAGUCAAGUGGACUAAUUAGUUUGAUCCUCAAGUCCUAGCCAAUUCCUAAGAAAGAACUAGAGUUAUUGGAAUUCAAUUCAAUUAGAAAAAAUAACAAUUAUCAAUCACGAUGAGUUUGAUAACUCAAGAGUCUCCAAUUAAUCAAUUAAAGCCAAGAAUAUAAAAAGCUGAAUAAUAAUCAUAAAUCUGAAAUACCUCAAUUGCAUUAAUAAUAGAAAAUCAAUCUAAACAUAAAGAGUUCAUGAACUAAUUUGAUAAAAUAAAUAAAAGGAACAUUGAACCUGUAAUAAAGAUAAGCAGUCCUAAAAUUGAGAGAAAUCCUAAUCCUAAUCCUAAGAGAGAGGAGAGAACCUCUCUCUCUAAAAACUACAUCUAAAACCUAAAAUUGUGAAUUAUGGAAGACCUCCUUCAUAAAUGGAUGCAUUCCCCCACUUUAUAGCCUCUAAUAUGAGUUUUCUGGGCCGAAAACUGGGACAAAAACAUCCCAGAAAUCGCCCUGUUAUGUUCAGGUCACGACAAAGUGACGCGAAGGCGUCAUCCACGCGUUUGCAUGGAUUGCAUUUUUGCCAGGUCACGCGUCCGUGUGAUCCACGCGUUCGCGUCACUUGGCGUCAGGAAAGCUAUGACAAAUUAUAUAUCGUUGCGAAGCCAUGGACGUUAGCUUUCCAACGCAACUAAAACAAUCUCAUUUGAAAUUCUGUAGCUCAAGUUAUGACCGUUUGAGUGCGAAGAGGUCAGGCUGGACAACUUAGCAAUUUCUUCAACUUCUUGUAUUCCUUCCACUUUUGCAUACUUUCUUUCCAUCCUCUGAGCCAUUUCUGCCCUGUAUAUCUGAAAUCACUUAACACACAUAUCACGGCAUCGAAUGAUAAUAAGAGAGGAUUAAAGUUAGUAAUUUAAAGGCCAAAGAAGCAUGUUUUCAAUCAUAGCACAAAAUCAGGAAGGAAAACGUAAAACAUGCGAAUAGUAUGAAUAAGUGGGUAAAAAGUUGAUAAAAACCACUCAAUUGAGCACAAAAUAAACCAUAAAAUAGUGGUUUAUCAACCUCCCCACACUUAAACAUUAGCAUGUCCUCAUGCUAAGUUUAAGAGAACUAAAAGAGUGAAGGGAAUGGUAGAAUGUAUGAAAUGCAACCUAUGAAUGCAACUAAAUGCAGAAUGCUUUUUCUACUUGGUGAAGAGUAAAUAAAUCCUUCAAGAAGAAAUAUGAACUGGAUCUCACUAAUUCAAAUCACAAAAUAAAAUACAAGUGAGCUUGCAAGAAGAAAAUAGCUCAUGAAAGCCGGGAACAAAGAAUCGAGCAUCGAACUCUCACUGGAAGUGUAUGCACUCUAAUCACUCAUGUGUUUAAGGUUCGAUUCUCUCAAUUCUCUACUAACCUUGCUUUCUAAGGCUUGCUCUUCAUCUAACAAUCAACAAAAAUUUAAUGCACAGAUACACAUAGCAAGAGGUCUUUUAAGGGUUGUAAUGGGGUUAGGGUCAAGGUAGGAUUGUAUUUGGCCAAGUGGACUAAAAUCUGAAUCCUUAAUUAACUUAAACUUUCCACUUAACUUUAGACAAUCCAUGUAAUCAUAAUACCACAUCUAACUAUGCAUUAACCAUAUUUUCCACAUAUUCAUGCAUUCUAAUUUCAAGUACAGUACAUAUGCAUUGCUUUCACCACUUACUUUGGGGCAUUUUGUCCCCUUUUGCUUAAUUGCUCUUUUUCUUUUCUUUUUCUCUUUUUUUUUCUUCUUUUUUUUAUAUUUUAUAAUAUUUUUUUUCUUUUCUUUUAUUUUUCUCAAUGCAUAUGAUUAAAUUAUUGGAUGCAUGAAUCAUGUCCUAAACAUUUCUUUCACUAACAUACUCAAUUCUCAAACCAAAUGUUUUCAAACCCACUUUCCCACAUUUAAUUCAUGAGCAUUCUCACUAGUCUAAGCUAACCAAGGAUUCAAAUUAAGGACAUUAUUAUUUUUCGCUUAGAGUUAAUGAUGUGCUAAAGUAAAGAACAAAAGGGUAUAAUAGGCUCAAAAUUGGUUUGCAAGAGAUAAUGAAGGGUUAAGGCCAUAUGGGUAUGUAAGCUCAGUGAAACAAAGGCCUCAAUCAUAUAAGUGCAUGCAUGCAUCAAACAAUGGAAAUAUAGAAUUAAGCAAGACAAAUAUCACAAUUUUAGAGAGAACAACACACACAAAAAUAAAAUAUUGGUUGAUAAAAUGCAACCAAUCAAAUAAGUUCAAAAUCUCACUGGUUUUGUGUGUUCGAGCUCUAAACCAUGUUCCAGUAUAAUAUUUAUUCAAACAAGUUUAACAAAAAGUUUUAAUUUAAAUUAGUGAAAUACUCUAAAAAGUUUCUUGAAAAAGAAAAUAUUACUUCAACCAAGUAGUAAAAUAUGCACAAAACCAAAAAAAUAUGCAAUCAAACAUGUAAAUGCAACAAUGAACUAACAAAUAAAGUAAAAUAUUGGUGUUGAGAAGAAAAUAACUAACCCAUGGAGAUCGAUAUCGACCUCCCCACACUUAAAGAUUGCACCAUCCUCGGUGCAUACUAAGAUGUGCAAGUGGACGGGUUUUUCCAACUAAUGCUUUUCUUCCAGAGAAUGUGCAGAUGGACUUGUCUGUCUCCCCAUGUAAACGUCUUCUGGUUCCCUUCCGGGUGGCCAUCCUGAAAGAAAAAGGGAAGAAAAGUAACCCAGAAAUAAAGAUAAGAAAAUAAAUGAAGUAUGGGUGGGUUAAUGCCAAUUGAUAAGGGUCUCAUUUACAUGGAAGCUUCAACAUGUACGUGAGAAAAUAAUAGAAGCACAUGGCAUACCAAUGGUGCAAAAUUUGCAACAAUGGGGAAGAGAGUGGGGAAGGAGAGAUAAUAUAAAUUCAUGUCAAUGCAAAAGUAAUACAGAUAUAAAAGAUUGGCAUUGAUUUAAAUAAUAUUACCCAAUCAGAAUAAAACAAGUCACUAAGCAUCCAAAAUAAUUCAAGAGAAGAUGCAACAGUUAAAUAAGAAAAUUCAACACCAACAGAAAAGUAAUAAAUUUAGAAAAGAAAGUAAAAAUAUGCACAAAAUUAAAAUGUAAUGAAUGAAAGUAUGUAAAUAAAUUAAGUAAAAUAGAAUGAAGGUGAAAAAGAAUGAGAAGUGAAAGAAAUAAAGUAAGAAAAAAAGAAGAAAGAAGGAAAGAUAGAAGAAAUUAGGAUUAGAAAAGAAAAGAUAAGAUAAUUGGUGCUGAUUUGGAUAAGUUGUGCGGCGCAGGCGACGCGGACGCGUGAGUGAUGCGGUCGCGUGGUGUGUGAUAAGGUCAAGUGACGCGGACGCGUGGGUCACGCAAUCGCGUGGCCGCAUUUGUGCGAUUGGCGCGAGUGCAGCCUCGCGUUCGCGCAACUCUCUGUUCGAAACUCUUUUCACCAAAUUUUUGGGUGACGCAGUUGCGUGGCUGACGCAAUCACGUGGAUGGCCAUUUUUGGAAAACGACGCGGCCGCGUGGGAAACGCGUUCGCGUGGGAGGGAUUGGGCUUCCAGCACGAGUCCAGCCCCAUUCCAGCCCAACAUACUGCCAUACACCCCUUUACGUCGAUUUUACAGAGCCACGCAUUCGCGUGGGUGACGCGGACGCGUGGGGAAGCUAUUUUUCAAAUGACGCGGCCGCGUCGGCGACGCGGUUGCGUGGGCAUAUUUGUGCCUAAGGCACGCCUCCAGCUACACUCUCGCGUGACUCUCUGUUCACUUUUCUUUUAUUCCUAAUGCACUUGUAACGCGAACGCGUCAGCGGCGCUUACGCGUCGCGUGCAUUUUUUUUAUGCAAAUGCAAAAAUGCAGGUGAAUAUGCAAAAAUUAUAAAUGAACACUAGUAAAAAUGAAAUAAAAUAAGAUUAAGAAUAAAAAGGAACGAAUAUACCAUGGUGGGUUGUCUCCCACCUAGCACUUUUAGUUAAAGUCCUUAAGUUGGACAUGUGCUGAGUUCCUUGUCAUGGCGGCUUGUGCUUGAACUCGUCUUGAAACUUCCUCCAAUGCUUGGACUUCCAAUAAGCUCUAUCAAUACUAAGUAAAUUCCUCAAGCUUUGAUGGGGUUCUUCACAAGCUUUGAGCUCCCAAAGUUGAUCCUCAUAUAUUCCUGGAUCCCAAAUCUUGUUUCUACACCCGUCUUCAAGUUGAUUAUCAUGAUUCCAUCUGGGUGGUUCAGCUUUAGAAUUCUCACUGAAGCGUCCAAACAACUUCCUAGACCUAUUCAAUUGAGCUCUACACCAACCUUUGCGUUUAAACUUAAAGCUUCCAACUAUAAUGAACCUUGCAGGACAAUUCUUACCACUGACCAUCUUCCUCUUACUCUUAAUGUCACAAAGAGCUCUAAGCUGACCAUCCAUCUCUAGUAGCCCAUAUUCAAGUGGGAAAGUAAAGGUCACAGAUAAGAUUUUGACCCACUUGAACGUUGUGUUGGAUGGUAAUGGCCUUGGGAGAGGUAUUUCGAACGAAUUCGCAAGCUCUACUCCCUUGUGCUCUUCUCUGACAACUUCUACCUCCUUGUAAGCUUCUUCAAUUUCAACCUCUUCCUCUUGGUAGCUUUCUUCCAAUUCAAUCUCCUCUUCACUGCUUUCCAAGGGCAUGGAAGGUUGUGCUUCUUCUUCUUGAAUCUCCAUCUCUUGAUCGACCUCUUCCAAGUCCUUAACCAUGACAUGCCUUGGAGGUUGUAUACCCUCCUCAACAUCAAAUGCAACCGUCUUGGAAGGAGGCUCUAUGUCUUGACUUUCCCAUGGAGGUUCAACAUCUCCCAAGUCUUCAACCACUUCUUCCUCUUCGAUAAUUACUGCUUUGUCCAGUAGUUUUAAUAUAAAAUCGUAUUCAUCCUUGAUGAUUUUCUUUCCAUGACAACUCCUUUCAACUAUUCUUUCAUCUUCAAGGGUCUCUCCUAUCUCCACAUUUUGGGCCUCCUCUUGCUCUAAGACAAAAUCAGACUCCUCCUUGAUGUCUUCCUUCACUAAUUCUUCAACCACUACUUCGACUUCAAGGGUCUUUACUACCUUCACCUUUAGGGCCUCCUCUAGCUCCUUAUGAAGUAUGGAUUCGCGAAGAUGAUCCCUUCUCUCUUGUUCCAUGUCAAUAGCAUCAUUGGGACCAUGUUGCUCUUGGAUUGAUGGAUGUGGGUGCUCUUCCAUGGAUGGUGGUGAUGGGAUGGAGAGAUCAUUCUGUGGUUAAAAAGGAAGUGCACUAGAGCUUGAGGGGUUAUUAUUGAAGGUAUUUGGUGGUCCGAUUUAGGAGACGAGAGCUUGUAUAGUAGAGUUUAGAUCGGUAAGUGCUUUCUCCAUGGAGGUUUGGGGUGGAUAGGAGGGUUCAUUUGUUGGGAGAAAGGGUUCAUGGUAGGAAGGUGGUUCAUCUUGAUAAUGAUAAGGAGAUAGUGUAUAUUGAGGUGGUGGUUCAUGAGAGUAGUUGUGUUGGAAUAGGGGUGGUUCUGUGUAUGGUUUAUUUGGCUCAUAAGGUGGUUGGUAUGGUGGAUACGGGUUAGGGUCAUAUGGAGGUGAAUUAUGGAAAGGGGCUUGUGAGUAUGGUGGUCUAAAGUCAUGUUGAGGAAAUGGUUCAUAGGCAUAUGGUGGUGGUUGUUAAUAAUCAAAAGAGCGCUCACCAUAGCCAUUGCCUUGAUAUGCAUCACAGAACGGUUGUUGAUAGUCCAUUGGAGGUGGUUGUUGCCAUGAGGGUUGAUCAAAUCCUUGUGGCUCCUCCCAUCUUUGAUUGUUCCAACCUUGAUGUCUGUUCUCAUUGUAAUUUCCUCUUCCUGCAACAUAAUUAUAACCAGACUCAUAGCAAAAGGGGUGAGAGUUCAUAGUAGUAGGAGAAAAUAGAAACAAAAACUAACAAAAAGAAAAUAUUUUGAAAAAGAUUUGAAUUUUUAAAAUUUAAAACUAAGAUAAGAUAAGAUAAAAAUUUUAAAAUAAAAAUCUGAAAAAAAAAAUUUUUCGAAAAAAAAUCAAUUUAAAAGCAAAUAUUUACAAUAACCUAUAAUAAGGCACACGUUUGCAAUUCCCCAGCAACGGCGCCAUUUUGAUGAUCGGAUUUCCUGUCGGUAAAGAAAUUCACAAAUAUAUUAUUGCGUUGCAAGUAUAGUUUCUAAAGCAACAGAAAAUCCUUUCGUACAAACGUUUUGUUUGUCACUUAAGCAAACCCAAUAAAAUUUAUAAACCGAAGUAUUUAAACCUCGGGUCGUCUUCUCAAGGAAUUGCAGGGAAGUAUAAUUUAUUAGUGGUUAUGGAAAACAGUAUUUUCUUGGGUUUUGAAAAGGUUUGAACAAGGAAAAUAAAUCGCAGGAAUUAAUAAAUUAAUAUCUAAUAAAACUCUUGGUAAGGUGUGAAAAUCUAGAAGUCCUAUCCUAGUUAUCCUUAUCGAUGGUGAUGAGAAUUGAGUUUUAACCCCACUUAGUUAACAUUUACUAAAGCAAAGGAAAGUCAAGUGGACUAAUUGGUUUGAUCCUCAAGUCUUAGCCAAUUCCUAAGAAAGGACUAGAGUUAUUGGAAUUCAAUUCAAUUGGCAAAAAUAACAAUUAUCAAUCACGAUGAGUUUGAUAACUCAAGAGUCUCCAAUUAAUCAAUUAAAGCCAAGAAUAUAAAAAGCUGAAUAAGAAUCAUAAAUGUGAAAUACCUCAAUUGCAUUAAUAAUAGAAAAUAAAUCUAAACAUAAAGAGUUCAUGAACUAAUUUGAUAAAAUAAAUAAAAGGAACAUUGAACCUGUAAUGAAGAUAAGCAGUCCUAAAAUUGAGAGAAAUCCUAAUCCUAAUCCUAAGAGAGAGGAGAGAACCUCUCUCUCUCUAAAAACUACAUCUAAAACCUAAAUUUGUGAAUUAUGGAAGACAUCCUUCAUGAAUGGAUGCAUUUCCCCACUUUAUAGCCUCUAAUCUGAGUUUUCUGGGCCGAAAACUGGGUCAAAAACAGCCCAGAAAUCGCCCCCAGUGAUUUCUGUUACGUUCAGGUCAUGGCAAAGUGACGCGGAGGCGUCGUCCACGCAUUUGCGUCGCCUGGGGUCAAGGCAGCUAUGUCAAAUUAUAUAUCGUUGCGAAGCCCCAGACGUUAGAUUUCCAACACAACUGAAACCAUCUCAUUUGGACCUUUGUAGCUCAAGUUAUGACCGUUUGAGUGCGAAGAGGUCAGGCUGGACAACUUAGCAAUUUCUUCAACUUCUUCUAUUCCUUCCACUUUUGCAUGCUUUCUUUCCAUCCUCUGAGCCAUUCCUGCCCUGUAAUCUCUGAAAUCACUUAACACACAUAUCACGGCAUCGAAUGAUAAUAAGAGAGGAUUAAAGUUAGUAAUUUAAAGGCCAAAGAAGUAUGUUUUCAAUCAUAGCACAAAAUCAGGAAGGAAAACGUAAAACAUGCGAAUAAUAUGAAUAAGUGGGUAAAGAGUUGAUAAAAACCACUCAAUUGAGCACAAGAUAAACCAUGAAAUAGUGGUUUAUCAAUGCACUACCCUAAUAGGACGGCGAUCUUCAAGAAGAAGACAAAAUCGACGUGGACAAAAAAGAGGAAGACGAGUUCGAUGAUCAAAAAAGUUAAUCCGUCGGAUUAUACAGUAACUUUCAACAAAUUGUGUUAUAUAUUCCGUUGCUAAAUUAGACAAUAAAUAUUUUCUGACAAAAUUUAUACCGUCGCAUUUACUCAGCCGCUAAAUCUAACGAUAUUUAAUAUGAGAGAGGUGCAACUACCCCAUGUAGUUACUGUUUCUGUUCCUUGAGUUUGGACUUUAGCUCCGUCCAAGUACCAAAAACAAAAUGCAUUUGAUUCGAAUCCUAUAACAUUCCUUAAAAAGAAGGUUAUGCUCACAGUGGAAUUCCUACGUGGCGUUUCUCAUAUUGCUCUGGCUUUGUCCGCCACAUACCAAUGAUAUUUUGAAAUAUUUUGAAUUUUGAAUUCAAAAUAAAUUUGGAAAAAAAAUCAUUCCCAUUAUUUACGUUCUCUCUCCAUUAGCUGUCUCUUUACCCUUAUUACGUUACCAUUCCUAUACGAAACUAUUCUCAUUACACUUCAUAAACAUGACAUUUUUCAAUUCAUUCAUACACCUUCCUUUUUGUCUGUAUUCAUUUGUUUUUUUUCUCUUGCUUUUAUAUUCCACCAGAUCUACAAAUUUGUGUGUUUCAGAAUUCAAAUUUUGAAUUGAAAAAUACCAUGAAUUAUUUCCUCUCAGUCUCAGUCUCUUCCCAAUUGUUUCCUCUCUUGAAGCUCCGCUGGCCAACGGCGAUCCCUCCGCCCGGUUGAUGAAGCGGCCGUGCAUCGUGUGGAUGCCUCGGCUGCACGACGACUUCAUUGCCGUGAUGGACGCGACUGUGGCGGUGGUAGGGUUUUGCUGGUUGACGAGGCAGCGACGAUUAUAUUUUUCUUCUGCAUCUCAGCAUCUUAAUGCGUCGGUGGAUUCACACACCUCCCUCACUUCUUUUUUAUCCCGGUCAAAUUCUUCAAUUAAGCAUCUCUCUUUCUUUGUUAUGUGUCCGAGUAUCUUCCACCUCCUUCUUCCGAAGAAAGUUUGAAUUUGAAUUUUGAAUUGAAAGAUAAUUUCAUUUUUCUAUAUUAAGAGAAUUUUAUUUUGUCCUUUUCAUUUGUUUUCUUGGUUGGCGAUACUGGAAUCCAGGUUGUGAAGAAUUUCACUCAUGGAAUCCAUGGGAACGGUGCUUUUGUGCAUUUCGGACAAGGAUUCCAAAGGAAUAGGUUACUUCUUCUGCUUUGAGUUUGCACACCAAGAAAAUGCUCCCGAUGAAGGCAGAGACAAACAUGCUUCUCAUGAGUAGAGCGUCCAACUACAACACUUCUUAAUUUGCCAUGACCUUUGACGAGGAUUCCAUGGAUCGCAGCAAGGUCUUCGUCAACGCCUUGCAGGUUCUCUCUAAUUCUCCUUUUAACUGUUUCAUUCUCAGCUCAGAUUUGCAUUUAUUUUUCACUGUCUUGAUCUUUUGACUUUUGGUUACUCUCUGGUUUGAUAGCGAAGAUGAAUUCUAUUUGGCAGAUAAAAUACGGUGAUAAUGGCGUCAUUUCUUAAGCUGUGCGCUUGCAUUGCUAAUUACAGUUGUUGACUUAAAUUUGAAACCUCAAUUAUAUAUGUUUUUGAAGAGUUUUGUUAUUGUAAAUUGCCUUUGCGUAUGUGAAAAAUAUGACGGGUGGAAGAAGUUGCAUUAAAAUCUGGGAUGGAAGUAAGAAACAAUGGUGUUGAGUUCGAAAGGGGAAUCUUAUCAUGUUACUGGAAAUUUGAGAUAUCUUAUACAUUAGAUGAUUAUAAUUGAGGUUAAUUUUGACUUAUAGUUGAUCCAAAUUAUACUAAUUUGUGGCAUUAAGUAGGUUGAAACUCCGAAUGAUAUAAUUUUUUUUUGUCGAUUUUUACAGUAUUAUGUUACCUAUAUAUGACUCAUUCUCUUUUUAUUCUUUCUGGUUUGUUGAGUUUGAGAUUCAGUUCCUUAUCUACCUGCUGAAAUUUUGGCAUUUGCAGUGGCAAGCUAUAUACAGAAAGGGGAAGCAUUUGUCAAUUAUUAGUUUAUUACCUGGUAACUUAAUUAUUACAUUAGAUGCCAUUAAUUGUUGAACUUUUCUUAGAAAUUAGAACCCAUUAAACGUUGCUUCUACAACAGCCAAUAUUCAUUGUUCUUAACUUAAUCAUUGAGAGACUGUUGAUUUUCUUUACUGCCCCUAUCUUUUUUAGGAAAUUAACUACUGAGAUAUCAGGACUCCAACGGAGAGAAAGAUCUUGAAACUGAAUUUAAAAAAGGUAUUUUGUUGUCUAUGUGAAUUCUUAAUGCUUUAGUAUUUCUCUCAAUUAUUGCAGAAGACUGAUUUGGGAUAUUUCACUUUUCAUUCAUUUGAACUACAAAGCAUUCUGAGAUUGUUUCACCUUGCACCCUCCAAGAGAGAAAUUCAGAUUCUCAAAGAUGUUAGUGGAAUAAUAGAACUAUCAAGGUAAUAAAUUAAUUCUCAUUUAUUUCAGUUAUAUUUGACGAGUAUAAUGAGGGCAAUUUAUCCUUAGUUUCUGAACAGUAAUUUUAUUUUUGAAAAACUGAUAUUUGAAUCCCUGCACAUUUUUUUCUGGGAAAACUACAUUAUUUUCUAACACUUGCAGGGAAACUUGACUGUGACUUAAGAUUUGUUCCUAUUUCAUUAUGAUUUCUUUUGAUUUUUUCUCCUAUAUAAUUAGUUACUACCUCCAAUGUAUCUAAAUAUUAUUUUUUCCGAAUUGUUAACAAAAGGGCAUUUGCAGAGUAAUUUUCUCUAAGCUUUCUCUUUGUCAGUGCAAAUUUAUUGUUUUUUUUUGUUUUUUACUGUUUAUAUUUUUUAUAUUUUGGUUUUUUUUUAAUUCCUUUUUUUCCUUCAGUUUGUUUCUCAUGCCAACAUUUAUUUUCCUCUUCUUUGUCAAGUACAAAGUGCAUAAAAUUUCAAAUUUAAAUUUUGAAUUGAAAAAAAGCAAUCAUUUCUCUUUGCUUCAAAACAAAUUUAUUUAAUUUUUUCUGUUGUCUGUGAAAUUAUAAGUGCUAUUUGAUUGUUGAUACUAUGUUUUGUAAUUUAGUUAAAUCCUACUGUAAUGUCAGAGAUUUAGGUUAAAUCAUGAAGUGUAAACAUUUCUAAAAGUAAAAAAUUCAGUAGAAUUUGGAUUCUGCUUACUAUACUCUUAAAAAUACUAAGAAAAAGAAAUAUAUGCAAAGCAGCAAGUAUGUAUGUGUGAGUGAGUGAGGUUUACAAAUCACAAAAGACAAUUUGUAAUGGUGCUGGGAUUAUGAGAAUAAAAAUUGCAUGGUCGGCAAUGGUAUCUUUUGUAGCCUAAGGGGAAAAAAAAAGGGACCCCACGCUUUUGUGUUAGGAAUAAACAAACAAUAAAGACAAUCUGCAAACUAGAAUUUCUUUUAUAUAUCAGGUCCAUGUGAAUGGAUUGAGUGUCAUAACAUUUUCCCUUUUCUGAAGUUCAUAGAUAGAACUUGAGAAUCAGAUUUAGUUUUCUUUUUUUUUUAUAUUUUUUUCUCAUCAAAAUGAUCUAUGUUGUAACUUAGUAACCAGAUUUAGUUUGUAUAUAAAGGAUUUGUAACUUAGUAACCAGCAAAUUGUUUACUAUUUGAUAUAAUACAUGAAAGUAUAUUCAAUUUUGUGUUUAUGUAUUAUUCUGAAAUAAGUUUGAGUACUAGAAAAAUUAUUUUCUAAGGUGUUUAGUCUGAUUAAAUUUCUUAAUAAGUGUCGUUGAGUUAGAUACUUCUUAAUUAAGUAUGAACUUUUAUUGACAGGUUGUGAUUGCACUGAUGAUACAGUUUGUGUGUAAGACUGCAACCCUGGCCGCUUGAUUCUAAAGUCACUUCUUUAAAAGCUCAUAUGUCAUUUAUAUGGUAUCCUAAUGAUGAGGAUGUUGCUAGUAGCACUGUUGCUGGAGGCGGUGCUCCUAUUACGGUCAUGGCGGUAAAGGAAUUAGAAGGAGAGGAUGGCGAGGCAAUGAUAAAGUCAGUUCCGCGUGAACAUAAAGAAAAGGUUUUGAAUUUAUUCGUUUGUUUUAUUUUGUUUCCGAGUUGUUGAUUAUGUUCUUCUUUCUUUACUUAAUAUUACGUGCGUCUUAUUUUGAAAUAAUAUUGUUACAAUAGAAUAUAAAAUAGGGAGGAAACUGUUAAUAGAAUACAACUUGAGCAGUCAAUGGUUUUGUAACUUGUUUUGCAGAUUUACACUUUUUGACUGCUGUGAAUUCUUUCAAUUUUCGUGAUGUUCAUUUGGGUUUAGCAUCUAAAAUUUUCUACCGGUUUGUGCUAUUAUUAGGGGAAUCCUUCGGCAGAUAUUUUAUUCGACCGUAUUUUUUUUUAGGAUUAAUCUGAGUAUUCUUAUCAUUACAGGAGAUCAUCAAUCCUUUAUUUGAGAAAGGAGAUACUCUCAAGAACUGUUUCAUCUUUGAUGCUUUUUAUGGGCAGGGAAUUAUAGGGAACAUUUUCAACAUUUGGUAACUUACUUAUGACUGAAGCACCACACUCCCUAAGUUUGGAAGAUUAACACUGUUCGGAUGAAAUUGACUCCUUUAAUUACACAAUGUUCUGGUUAUUGUUGAUUAUUAAUUUAUAUUUGAGUUUUCUGAUUAAUCUAGGCUAAUUUUCAAUUUACUGUUUUUCUUGCUGUAAUAGACACGAAUAAAACGAUUACAUGUUGUAGACAUUGCGCUUAUUAAAAACAUGUUUGUUUUCUUUGAAAUACAGUAGUUGGUACACGUGAUUUAUAUGGUAUUAUAUAAAUCACAAACUCAAAUUUCAUUCUAACUUUCUUUCUCAUGUCGUACUCAUGCCAAUCUUUUAUAAUAUUUUGGUACGGUCCGACUUUUUUUAAUGAAAACGGUCAUACACAAAUCCGUUUGUGAAAUUACUUUUCACAGUUUGCAUUUGUUUUUGUAAGUGCUCUGAAUUCAGUAUCAUGGUUUCACACCAUUUUUGUCAAUGAACAAAAAAAAAACAGGAACUGAUAAUAAAAGUUAAUCUUAGGAAGAACUGAUCAUAUUUGCUUUGACUGACAUAGGAUGAUCGCAGACAAAAAAUUUAAAAGUAUUGCAUUAUGAAUAGAAUAUUUUUCAUCUUUCUUCACAUAUGAUUCAAUUUGGCUUGUACCAUAUUAAGUUUAUAUCAUAUUAAGUAUCUUGAUAAUGAUGUUGAGUAUUGCUCAUUGAUUUUGGUAGAAAAAAUUGAUUAAAUUUUAUCUCAUGUUCUUAUGUCCAAGUAGUCAUAUUGUCCAUCAGAAUUGCUUAGUAUUAGAGAAUGUAAACCAUUCUCAUCUUAUAGCAAUUUUGUUUGGUUAAAUCCCAUUGUCACAUAAAUAUUAUCAUCAAUUUACUUUAUCAACGUAUAUUUUUUUUGUAAGUUUAUUUUACUAAUAUUUUUUCUUGCUUUUUUUUUCGCAUUUUAAAUUUGGUAUUAACUAUUAUGAAAGUAUUUUUUUGUCUAAAAAAUGAUUAAAUAAUAUAAAAAGGCAUGGUACAUAAGAGUUUUGGAACAAAUGAAAAAUGAAAAAAUACUUUCAAAUGAUGGAACGAUUUUGUAUAGUUUUCAUAAUAUGAAAAAAAAAGGUUUUAUUAUUGUAAUGCAAAUUAGGUUGUACUUUGACAUUAGAUUUUUAAGUAGUUCUGAUCAUUUUAAAUUUUUUUUUGUACUUUAGUAUUUUCUAUUCACAACUUUAUUACACAAAUUUUAAAUUUUAUCUUAUAUAUUCUUACAUUUUUCUAUAAUGUUCAAAAAACUAAAGUAAUUUAAAUAUUUUUAAUUAGCGAUCCAAUUCAUUAUAAAACACUCAUAUAUAUGUUAAUAACAUAAAAACACUUUCAUGAUGAAUAUUUUUAUUAAACUUACCAUACCCGUGCAUCGCACGGCCAAUUCACUAGUUCUCACUAUAACUAGGAAGUUGAUAUAUGAAAUUUACGAAAAAAGAAUGGGAUGUGUGCGUAUUAAUGUAAUUUGACCCAAAAAAAAGAUUCAAUAAAAAUAUCCGAAACAUACUUUAAAUUAGUCAUAACUCAUAAAAAUUAAGUCCCAACAAAAAAUAGUUAUUAAAAAUACUUUAGUUUAAUAAAUUGAUCGUGACUUAGCUUUGCUUUUUUUUUUUUUUGUCACGGACUUAGUUUCAUAUAUGUGGAUUAUCAAACGGACCAAUCAUCCAAAAACAUAAGUCCAAUUUUUUUUUUUUUUACCGAAACCAUUAAGUAAAAAGAGAGUUCAAAUUUUGGUAACCUUGGGAGCAGUUCUGUUUAAUUUUGUUAAUUGUAUCAUGAUCUGAUACAACUGCUAGUGUUCACUUCCAUAUCAAGCUUCAAUUACUAAGAAAAUUUCCUCAAGCCAAAAUUAUUAUGCGUAAAACUCUAGCAAUAUGAUUAAUGAAUGAUAUUAAUAUUAUAUUAUGAUCGUUUUGUCAUUAAUUCAAUAAUAAUAAUCAUUAAAUUUGUCAGUUAUAAAUUUAGAAUCAAGACAAAUAAAAUUAAAUGACGACUCAUCUAAUAAAGACAGCUAUAAUUUAUCUUGAGUAACAUAUAUAUAUAUAGCCUUUUUGUUUUAAACUUUCACUUUCAAUGUAUAUACAACAAUUAACAAAUAAAAAUAUAUAUUAUCUGCAUAUAAAAUAUUAACCACUAGGUAUUUAUAUAUAAAUGUGUAUUAUUUAAUUUAUUUUUAAAAUAUAUUUUAUAUUUCAAUAUACAUUUUAUAUAAAUUGUUUAUUGGUGGUUGAUUUGUUACGGAUAGCCGGUAUAGGUAGCAUGGUCGAUAAACAAAUCAUGUAUAUUGCAUUGUUAAUAAUUUGUUAUUAGUGACAUCAAAGUAAAGAGGGUUACAUGGAAGCACACAAACAACCAACGAGUCAAACACACCCACCUUUCAUCCACAUCCACUCCUUCCCCUUCCACGUUCAUCACACGCAUGCAGCAACACACACCCUUUGAUAAUUACGUGCAUGCACCACUCUACUCUUCAAUCACCAUCACAUACAUGCAAAGUGAUUAUUAUGGUACUUAAAUAACGUUGCCUAAUUUAUUAAAAAUAAGUACACUCGACUUCACGUGAAGUUAAUAGUUGAGAAUCGUUAGAUAAUUUGACUAAUUUAACUGAGUUUUCACCUUAAAAAUAACUGCCAAUGAGUUAUAUUUUAAAUAAUAUAAUCUCUUUAUAUUCAUCUAAAAAAACAUAAAAAACAUNNNNNNNNNNNNNNNNNNNNNNNNNNNNNNNNNNUGAAUUAUAUAAAAUUUUAAGAUUUUUUUUUUAUUUUUUAACGUUUAAUAUCCAUCUGUCUCACAAAAGGAUAGAGGGAAAACGUAAGGCAAUUUUCUAAAUAAAAACAGAGAACGGAAAAAGGAUUUCCACCAUAUGAAUAUCAUUGCCAUUUCUAAUGACAAUAGAGGAGUUUGAUUGGGUAAUUGAUGUUGAAAAAUGGUAUUAAAUUAACCGUAAAUUUAAAAAAAAUUGACUAAUUUUCUACGGUUAAAAAUUUAAAACAUUAAAAAUAAUUUAAAAAAAUUAAAAAUAUUAAAAUAAAAAUACAUACUUUAACUUAUUACUAACAAUAAUUAAUUAUUAUAUUUUAAAUACAUAUAUAAAGAGACACAUCCAGAAAAUAUAUUUAUAAAGAUACUUUUAUUAAAUACAGCCAUAAAAAAGACAUUUUUAUUAGACACAUUCACAAAAACACUUUCAUUAAACACAAUUAUUAAUAAGAGUUGGCAGAAGUUGAUAGAAAUACUGUUGAUAAUGUAGCGGAAUUGUUUUUAUUAUUAUUUAGGCAUUCCUUAACGCUUAAGACCAAGAAAAAAAAAAAAAACCGUAGGUGCACAAAUCUCUCAAAUAAGAAUUUCGGGUGGCAAGAUGGAAAAGCACAUCGAUGAAGGCGUUGGAAGACUCAUCGUUUUCUUGUGGCUGAAAGUGCGAAGUCUUCAUUCUUGUAUGGUUGCGGAGGCGCAAGAAGCUAAGAUUUGGAAGAAUAGUGGCGGAUAAAAUAUGAUUAUAAAUAUUCAAUCAAAAUUUAAACCACAUGUUGUAUGAAGACAAAAUCAACCCCACAAAAGCAGGUUAUCCAGCUCUCUUUGUCUAUCUAUAUACGUGUGCUAAACAUAGAAGUCGCAUUGCCAGCACAGUUUAGUUUGUUUUUUACUCCUUUAUUUUACUCUAUCUUCCUCAUUUCCAAGGCUCUUAGUGUGUCAUUCUUCAGCACUAUACAACACACUAUCUUUUCUCCUCGUCACACUAUUGUCCUAUUUAAUUAUUGAAGCACUAUGUCCUCAUUACCAAAAACAUAUAUAGGAUUAGGACAGAACACAUUAAUUAUCAUUUUUUUUAAUAAAAAAUUUACAUUAUGUAUUUAAUAUGGAAAUAUUUUUUUAUUAAUAAUAAUAUUUUGAUAUAUAUCCUUUAGCUAGCUAAACUCGUUUAUUUUUUUCCCAUCGAUAAUUUGACAAAUCAAUUAAUUAGAAUUCGAAUUUUAUUCAAUAGUCUUCUACACUAAUUAAUAAAUUACUGCAUACACAAUAUAAAAUUUAAACUCUUAAUAUCUACUUAAACUAAUAAGUUGACUAGCUAUACGACCAAAACAAGUUUAACAUAAAUAUUACAACCCAAGGAAACAAACUAAAAGAAAUAAUGAUAUUUUUAGUUUUUUUACUCAUUUAAUGAAUUCAUUGUGAAUACAUGCAUAAUGAGUAUUGAGAUACACUCAUAUGUAUACGAUAUAGGUUAAAUUCAUACUACAAAAAAAAUACCCAUUUAAAUAUACUUAAAAAAUAUAGCCAAAAAUAAAAAAAAACAUCUUAAAUUAAGACUACACUUUUUAAACUACAAAGACGCUUUAGUGAGAGAUGUCUAUUCGACUGUUGUCUACGAAAACACUCAUAAUUUAUUCACUUUUUUCUCAAAUAAAAGAUAAAUUAUUUUUUAUAAUAUGUUUAAUAGCUAUAUGUUGGAUAAAAUAGAUUGUUACUAUAAUCAAAACUAAUUCUUUAUUAAAAGAAUUCUCUAGUAAUUUUUCAGCCAAAUUUCUUUCUUUAAUUUUAUUUCCAAAUGUAAGAAAGAAGAGGUAAAACGAUAUUUUCUGAAAAUGAAAAUCUAUAUAAUUUAUAAUAUCACUGGCUAGCCACAAAAUAAAAAAAAUGUUAUUUAAAAAAAAACAGCUGAAACAAAAAGAUAAUUAUGAAAUGCAGAAAUAGAAAGUGGGAACAAAACUAAAAGCAGAAUAAUUUUUUUACAAAACCUGCAAAUAUUCACAUGACUAAAGCAAAUAAUAAUUUACAAGAUGAAUUAAUUAAAAUAAAUAUUCUAAAAACAAGAAGAAUAACACACACAAUAUUUUCUAUGAAGGGUAAACAAUAAAACUUAGAGCGAAAAUAAAAUAAAUGCAGAGAAGGCAGAAUAAGAGGACAAAUAUGGAGUGAAAAAGAGAAGAGAAUAAGUAAAAGUAAAAUCUCAACACGAGAGGAGAAGGGAUGAUUUGGUUUCUCUCCGGUAUGUCCAGCUUUAUUAUUAGGGUAAUUCAAAUUAAAUUAAGAAUUAGUGUUAAUUAUGAUGAUAUAAUUCAUUUUAUCUAAAUUAUUAGAUACUAGGAAUAAUUUACUUUUUAUUUAAGAGAAGAUGGGAGUGGAAAUCACCUUAAAUUUAUACAUAUUUUCGGAGAACAGAUUUUCAAACAUUUAAAUUUUUUUUUUUUUUGUAUUGAUGAUAUUUAAUAUUUUUUCUUAUUCUGAAAUGGAAAAUGCUAGGUGUAAAAAGAAAAGAAUUGAUUAGUCUUGAUUCAAAACUAAGGAAAAAAACAUUUAUGGUUUAAUUUUUUUUUUUCUUGUAAAGUAGUAGAGUUAAACAUCAAACAGAAGGUGCAUUAAACAUUGAACAUCUCAUUGAUUAUACCACAUAACAACAUGGCAUGCUUAGGUACCAAACAAAAAGGCAUCUUGGACAGUAUUUGCAUGAAAAUGUAACGUGGAAGCACAAAAUCAAUUAAUGAAGCAAACACAGCCACCCCACCCUCCUUCCCCCUUUCCCUUUUCCACGUACCUCACAUGCAAAAUCCCUCCUUUCACCUAUAAAUACCAUCACCACCAUCCACACUCAAAAAACACCACACACUCUUCAAUACACAUUCCAUAACCACCACAACAACAAUGGCCAAGCUCACCAUACUAGUAGCCCUCGCCCUUUUCCUCCUCGCUGCCCACGCAUCUGCGAGGCAGCAGUGGGAACUACAAGGAGACAGAAGAUGCCAGAGCCAGCUCGAGAGGGCGAACCUUAGGCCCUGCGAGCAACAUCUCAUGCAGAAAAUCCAACGUGACGAGGAUUCAUAUGGACGGGACCCGUACAGCCCUAGUCAGGAUCCGUACAGCCCUAGUCAGGACCCGGACAGACGUGAUCCGUACAGCCCUAGUCCAUAUGAUCGGAGAGGCGCUGGAUCCUCUCAGCACCAAGAGAGGUGUUGCAAUGAGCUGAACGAGUUUGAGAACAACCAAAGGUGCAUGUGCGAGGCAUUGCAACAGAUAAUGGAGAACCAGAGCGAUAGGUUGCAGGGGAGGCAACAGGAGCAACAGUUCAAGAGGGAGCUCAGGAACUUGCCUCAACAGUGCGGCCUCAGGGCACCACAGCGUUGCGACUUGGAAGUCGAAAGUGGCGGCAGAGACAGAUACUAAACACCUAUCUCAAAAAAAGAAAAGAAAAGAAAAGAAAAUAGCUUAUAUAUAAGCUAUUAUCUAUGGUAAUGUUAGUUUUGGUAAUAAUAAAGAUCAUCACUAUAUGAAUGUGUUGAUCGUGUUAACUAAGGCAAGCUUAGGUUAUAUGAGCACCUUUAGAGUGCUUUUAUGGCGUUGUCUAUGUUUUGUUGCUGCAGAGUUGUAACCAUCUUGAAAUAAUAUAAAAAGAUCAUGUUUUGUUUUGGCGAGUAUAUUAUGUUUUAUUUCUCAUUUUGGUUUUUCUGAUUGAUGAUGAUUAGUUGAAUAAAAGGUAUUGAAGGUUUUUUUCCCCUAAACUUCAUCUAUUUAAAAAUUUAGAUCAAGUAAAAUUUUAAUUUUUUUAAAAAGUUAUAUUAUUUGGUGGAUAGGGUGUUUUCACGCUAAAAUUUUGAAUACAGGUGUUAGAGAAAAGAAUGACGCGAAGAGAGAUGGAUGUGCUUCUUUGUUAGAGACGCACUAGUCAAUUCAGGACAACAUUAUGUCAAUGUCACAUUAGGUNNNNNNNNNNNNNNNNNNNNNNNNNNNNNNNNNNNNNNNNNNNNNNNNNNNNNNNNNNNNNNNNNNNNNNNNNNNNNNNNNNNNNNNNNNNNNNNNNNNNNNNNNNNNNNNNNNNNNNNNNNNNNNNNNNNNNNNNNNNNNNNNNNNNNNNNNNNNNNNNNNNNNNNNNNNNNNNNNNNNNNNNNNNNNNNNNNNNNNNNNNNNNNNNNNNNNNNNNNNNNNNNNNNNNNNNNNNNNNNNNNNNNNNNNNNNNNNNNNNNNNNNNNNNNNNNNNNNNNNNNNNNNNNNNNNNNNNNNNNNNNNNNNNNNNNNNNNNNNNNNNNNNNNNNNNNNNNNNNNNNNNNNNNNNNNNNNNNNNNNNNNNNNNNNNNNNNNNNNNNNNNNNNNNNNNNNNNNNNNNNNNNNNNNNNNNNNNNNNNNNNNNNNNNNNNNNNNNNNNNNNNNNNNNNNNNNNNNNNNNNNNNNNNNNNNNNNNNNNNNNNNNNNNNNNNNNNNNNNNNNNNNNNNNNNNNNNNNNNNNNNNNNNNNNNNNNNNNNNNNNNNNNNNNNNNNNNNNNNNNNNNNNNNNNNNNNNNNNNNNNNNNNNNNNNNNNNNNNNNNNNNNNNNNNNNNNNNNNNNNNNNNNNNNNNNNNNNNNNNNNNNNNNNNNNNNNNNNNNNNNNAGUUGUUUUAACCGUUGAUUUCAAUUAAUGUAUAUUAUAUAUAUUUUUUUAUAAUUUAGAUUAAUGGUUAAAACAACUGGAACACCAAUAUUUUCGGUAUACUUAAAACUCUUCCUAUAACAUAAACUGUAACACUUUACCACACAGAGUCUUAUGUUUAAGUCAUAAAACAGAGGUGGUCAGGUAUUAUGACCUCUAAAAAUAAAAUUUAGUACAUAUAGUAUUGCAAAAAUAUUUAUAACUAGGAGCCUUUGAAGCUUCAAAGUGGGUAAAUCAAAACCGAUUAAAUCAAAAAGCGCAACACUCCGAUCGAUAACGUAAACGAAACAACGAUAGAAUGAGCUAACACGAUAAGAUAUACAAAAGAGUGCCAAUGAUACAUAUAUCAAGGCCCAUGAUUCGAUUUGCGAAGGUAAUCGGUCCGAACAUAUAAGGUAUACAUACAUAUAUAAGGAACUUCCCAAAAGACAACCCACAAGACAAAAUACAGAACCUGUUUUUUUCAAAAUACCCUCUAAGAAGAGUUAAUACAAAAUACAUAUACAGUAAAAAAUAUAGUAUCUAAACAAGUAUAAAAUAACCAAAAUAAAAUUCCAAAAUACAAAGAUUUCCGCCAAAAGAAAGUCUUCAGUAUACCUCAGUGAGGAGCCUCACGUCCUGCAUCUGAAAACCACAAAAUCCGCAUGAGUGAGAACCGGUGGUUCUCAGCAUGGUAACAGUACCCAAAUAUCUAACAUGUAAUGUCCUGGAAAAGUCGAAGGCAAUCCUAGAACUUCCAAAUUAUAAUCAAAGCGCAUAAACAUGAUAAGCCAUAAAAAAUGUAAAUAGGUGACUAACUUAAGAGUCUUCAAACUAACUAAACAUCCCCUUUCUAAAUCCUGCAAACCUCCCAACCGCCAAUAGUAACAGAUACAAACACAAGUAUAUCAAACAAAGAAAUGCACGAGUAGGAAACAGAUAAGACAAUUAAGCAAUUAGCAAGUAAUGAUGCAAUCAAUUAGGUAAUCCAGACAAUUCACAUAUAAUGCAUAUGAUGCAUGCUUAUCCUAGUGGUUGAUGAGUCUCAUCUGUUAGUUAUCUAUCCAACUCGACGUGUUCGAUAGCUAACCCGGCCACAGUCUCUCUAUUGCGCGUUAGUACCAUUAAAGGGAAUACGUGCCCUGUCACCGUUAGAGAGUAUAUGCGCCCUGUCACCAAUUUACCAUUAGAGGGUAUCUGCGUCCUGUUGCCAUUAGAGGGUAUCUGCGCCUUGUCGCCCUCACAACCAGAGAGAAAGCAUUACAAAUAUACUCACACCCAACCUCUCCAUUUGUUAUUCAUUUACCGUAUUCAAUCAUGAAUUACAUAUACAUUUAUCCUCAGCCAAACAUCAACACCUAUCUCAGCCAUCCGGCGUAAAUUCAUAAUUCAUUAACAGCCAUAACCCAGCAUCACACACAGUCAUUUGACUCAUAUCAUUCCCGGCCAUUCGGCCCAUACCAUACACAGUACUCCACCAUCUUCCUCCAAAAUUCAUAUCAUCAUUUUUCUUUAUAACCCAUCAUAACAUCCCCGUUCUUCAUCCAUAAGCUACCCUUUCCCCCAGCUUACUCACAUUCACUAGGUAUUCUAUAUCAAUUUAAGAUUUAAGGGAUGAAUUUGGGGGUUUAUAAGCGUGAAAUAACAUCUCGGAAGGUUACGAUCUUGUUGGGAAUGUGAAGAACUUGAAAACAAGAGUUUUAGAAAUGAACUGGGUCACGUGCGUACGCACAGGGGUGUGCGUGUGCACGCCCAAAAGCAUUUUUAAACGCGUGCCUGUGCGUACGCACAGAAAGCAAAAUCUUCAGGGUGAGGCGCGCGCACAACGUGUGCUAGCAUCGCCACCAGUGUGCCAUUUCCAACGUGUGCGUGCGCACAGACCGGUGCAUGCGCACAGACCGGUGCGUACGCACAGCUCGAAAUUCUUCGAUGGUUGUGUGUGCGCACAGGGCAUGCUAGCGCUACCACCAGCAGCCCUGUCUCCGUGUGUGCGUACGCACAAGGCUGUGCGUGCGUACAAGACCAAAUCCUCGCAGUGUGCGUGCGCACACAAACCAGAAAUCAUAAAUUCUACAGAAGUUGCAGAACUCAGUUUUCUGGCCCAAACUUCCAGCGAUCAUAUCUCCUUCCACAAAAUUCAUAUUUCCACCAAAUUUAAACCAUUUUAAAGCUUAUAAAGUUAUUUUUCAUUUGAUAUAAAAAUCAUCAAAUUUCGAAAACAAUAGCUCAAGAUAUGAUCCGUGGAAGUUCAUCAAAUUUUCAUUUUCAUCAAAAACUCAUAAACUCCUAAUUUUAAAACAUACACUUAUCAAACUCAUUCAAAACCCAUCAAAACUCAUUCUUCCAACAUCAAUCAUUGCCAAUGACUCAUACAAUCAUCAACCCACCAAUUCUACCAUAUUUAUCCAAAUCUCAAUUUAACAAAUCUCAUAUCACAAUCAACAUUUCAUAUCUCAAUCCCCCAAUAAAUAUUCAAUUCAUCAAUCACCAUAUAUAUAAAUAUAUAUACACAUAUCAUCAUCACAUUUCAAAUCAUGCUCAUCAUCAAGAGCCCCAACUUUAUCAUCAAUCCAACAUAUUAAAUCCACAUAACAUACAACAAUACAUGCUUUAUCAACCAUACAACCACUCACAAUCAUGUCCAUAAUCAUUCAUACAUUUCUAAUUCAAUCCAAAGUAACCAACAACCACAUCAACAAUUCCAAAGUCCUAUCCUAGGUUCACUAGCCAACGUUUUCACACCACAUUACAUUUUAAAUACAGGAAACCGAAGCCAUACCUUGGCCGAUUUUCGUUCCACCCGGAACCCUCUCAAAUUCACUUUUUCUCAACUUCCAAUGCCUUAAUACUUCACCAACAGAUUUCUAGGCACAAGCUCCACUCCAAGGCUUGUCAAAAUCACUAAUCAAGCUCCAAUAUACAUAUAUACAAAGCCUAAACCACAAUAUCACACCCAAACACAAUAACUCAAUACCCAACACCUCAAAUUCAACAUAUUCACUUGGGUUAGAGAAUCUUACCUUACCCAAUGACCAAGAAAGCUAGAGAAAGCCUUCUCUUCAAGUUAAUUUGAGCCUACAACAUCCAAAUUCAAAAAUCUCAACACUUUACCCACAAAUUUUUGAAAAUGAGAACUGAGAAUUCGAAGAACAAACUGUGGCUUACCUCAAGAUUGCUUAUGUGAGUUUUUUAGAGCUCGAUGCCGCGAUCGCGUGGCUGUAAACAGUGCGUCAAUCGGAGCUCCAGAUCAAAAGAUAUGAUCAAUUGAAGUUGGAGCAAGGGUUUGUGUUUUCCUCCCCCUUUCCCCUCUCAAUCUCAGCGUGAAUGUGUUCUUGAGGGAGGGAGAGAGCUGAGCUUCAUUAAUUAAAUGAAGCUUGGCUGGGUCAUGGGCCCAACUUGGGUCCGGUUAGUUCAGUUUGGUCUGUUCGGCCCAAUCUUGAGCCGAUUUCUUUAAAAUUAGUGUCGAAAUUCUCGUUUUAAUUUUAUCUAUCACAUUAAAUCAUAAAAAUCGCAUUUCUCACUUUCUAAAAUAUAUUUUAAUUUAUUGGUUAAUUAGCCAUUAAUUAACUGAAUUUUUCAUAAACAAAUUUAAAUCAAUUGUUUGUGGUUAGAAUUUUACCAUAUCUUUUCAAUUUUAAUGGAUAAUUUAUCUCUUAUUAUAUAUCAUAACAUUAGUGGUUGAAUAAUUAAAUUGGUUUGUCAUGAUUAAAUUUAAUUUUUUAUUUAAUUUAAAUUUUAUUAAAUUAACUAUAACUAACUAUGGUAUAUUUUUUUUUUGUAAUUUAUAAAAAGAUUUAUGCUAUGUGUACACUAAAAUUAGCCAUCAAAGUCAGCCACCAAUAUAAAAUACAUGUUAAAAUACAAAUACACAUUAAAAAUAAAUUAAACCACAUAUAUAUUUAUACACAAAUACAUUGAUAGUUAAUUUUAGUAGCUGAUUUUAGUGUACAAAUAACAUUUUUCUUAUAAAAAUCAUUAAAAAAUUCUCACUUUGUAAUUUAUUUUUUCUCAAACCACAUAUUUAUUAAUAAUUUCAAACAAAAAAUCUCAAAAAAANNNNNNNNNNNNNNNNNNNNNNNNNNNNNNNNNNNNNNNNNNNNNNNNNNNNNNNNNNNNNNNNNNNNNNNNNNNNNNNNNNNNNNNNNNNNNNNNNNNNNNNNNNNNNNNNNNNNNNNNNNNNNNNNNNNNNNNNNNNNNNNNNNNNNNNNNNNNNNNNNNNNNNNNNNNNNNNNNNNNNNNNNNNNNNNNNNNNNNNNNNNNNNNNNNNNNNNNNNNNNNNNNNNNNNNNNNNNNNNNNNNNNNNNNNNNNNNNNNNNNNNNNNNNNNNNNNNNNNNNNNNNNNNNNNNNNNNNNNNNNNNNNNNNNNNNNNNNNNNNNNNNNNNNNNNNNNNNNNNNNNNNNNNNNNNNNNNNNNNNNNNNNNNNNNNNNNNAUUUUAUCUUACUUCUUUCGUAUUAUUAAAAAAAAUUCAUUUUUCAUACAAAAACAAUUUGAAAAAAAAAAAAGCAAUUAAACUCAGGGUUGUUGAGAACAAGAAAAAAAAAGAGGGAAAAAAAGAACUAUGCAAUCUGCACCAAAUUUGACGAAUUUUAAGGGAGUUUAUUUUAAAAAUAUGUUAUUUUCUCAAAAAAUUCUAUAAUUUUACGUACUUGUAUAUAUCUCAAUUUAUUUAUUCAAUAAAUUCAUUUAACAUACUCUAAUUGAACUGUAAUUAAAAAUAAAUUUUAUUGUAAUAAAAGUUUNNNNNNUUGUUAGUGGCAAUUUCAUGCAUUUCUGGCGAGAAGGGAAACGAUUUUUCCGGUAGCAGCAUGGAGAUGGUGGCAUCAAUAUUUGAUGGUGUUAAGGAAUAUAACGGAUGAUGUAGUUUUUUCCUUCUAUUAAUAAUAACUCAUAAACAGAAUAGCCAAUGAGUUAUAACUCAAAUGACAUAGUCUUUUCAUACUCAAUUAAGAGGUUACGGGUUCGAGUCUUUUAUCUUUAGUAAAAAAAAAAAAAAAACUCAUAUUGCAUUCCAAUGUUUUUUUAUUUUUUUAAUAUUUUUGUUUAAGACAUAAAAAUAGGAAAGAAGAGAGAAGUUGAAGAUGUCUCUUUAAUGGGCCAUGGACAUUUUGUUUUAAUUAAUCAAUUACAAUUUUUGUUUUACAUACAUGUGUGCUUUUAGCGAGUGGGUUGUCAAAUUUGUGAAAAAUAAAAGAGUCAACGCCAAUUUAAAAAAAAAUAAAAUAAUAAAUAUUUAUUUUGAUUUUUGAUAAUUUAUUUGAAUAAUAAAAUAUUUUUUAUAAUUUCAAAAUUUUAAAUUAAUUUUUAAUUAUUUAAAUAACUAACAAUUUGAAAGUCGCUAACUGAUCUCUACCUAUUUUAAUGUUGAUCUAAUUGAUUUUCAAUCGUUCAAGUAAUUGAUCCAAAUGAUCUUUGUAAACAAUAACUUAAAUCAAUAUAAAAAAUUAUUUAAACUAAUUAUUUAAUUAUUUAGAUAAGAGAUUGAUUAAAAAAUUUUAAAUUUGAAAAAAUUAUUUAUCGUUCAAGCAAAUAUUUAAAGAACAAAAAGAAUAUUUACUCAAUAAAAAAUAAAUAAGUUUUGAAAACAAAAUAGACGAUUAAUAUAUUGAAGUAAGGCUAAUUCUAUAUACUUAUUAUUUAAUGUUUAAAUUUUGUCUACUUUAUUUUUUAUAAUAAAUUUUAAAUAUUUAAAAUUUACUAAAAAAAUUAGACAACAAAUAUUAGAUGCCAUAGAAUUGGCCUUAUAAUUAAUAUGUGACAUUAGAGUGGCGGCAGAUGCUAGACUCAAAAAUAAUAAUCUGUGCCAAAACAAACUAGUAGGAAGUAGCUUAUAUUAUGAGCUAUUAUGUAUGCUUGUUUCGUUAAUAAUAAAUAUCAUCACUGUAUGAAUGUGGUGAUAGGUAAGGUUAUAUGAGCACCUUCGGUGUGCUCUUAUGGCUUUACCUAUGUUUUGCUACUGCAAAGUUUUAACCACCAUGAAAUAAAAGAUCUUCAAGUAUAUUAUGUUUUAAUUUCUUUGACAUUAAUGAAAAUCAAACUCUUCUAAUUUUUUUUAAA
rnacentral:lncRNA from 1 species